rnacentral:rRNA from 1 species
AGACAGAUGGACAACAGGUUGAUAUUCCUGUACUACCGAUAACCGUUUGAGAGAAGGGAUGACACAGUAGGAUAAGCUAAGCACACUGUUGGUUAUGUGUGCCCAAGCAUUGAGGCAGUCAAAGUAGGUAAAUCCGCUUUGAUAAUGCUGGGAUGUGAUGGGGAGCGAAAUUUAGUAGCGAAGUAGCGGAUUUCACACUGUCAAGAAAAGUCUCUAUCGAGGUUAAAGGUACCCGUACCGCAAACCGACACAGGUG